UGAGUUCAAAUGCACCACUUGUUUACUUGAAGAAGCUUAACUCCAGAUGCAGAACAUAUAGUCUCGGCCGUUAGGAAUAGCCUUCACUACUUUUAGAUCUAUACUUACUUGAAGAAGCUUAGUACAAAUCUUAGCAAUCACCAAUCCUGCAUAAUCGGUUUAGUAUAUAACAUGUAACUAUAUGCUUAACAAUUUGCAUGACAAACAAAUAAAACCAUUCACAAUCAUCCAACACAACAUCAUACUUAUUUAUUUAAAAGAAUAACAAGUUCAAACCAUACAACCAUGCAACUUUGAAUCCGAAUUUAAAGUUAACGCAAGAAAAGAGAACAUGCAUGUUGUUACACUUUUUCGAUGAUCUUCAAGGGCCAAUUGAUGAUGACGCAAGUGCUCCUCAGCUUCAAGAUCUCGACUGCAGCUUGGAGAAGUCCGAAGGCUGCUCUCCAACGUUGGCUUCUCGGCUUCUAGAUGCACACGGCUACAGGAAGAAAGAUGCUACUAUUUUUGUGUGAUUUGUGCGUGAAGAGAUGAUCAAAACGUUGCUACCUUGCUUCCUUUUAUAUUGUCUUGGCCGAACCCUAGCUGUCCUCCUAGCCCCUUGAUUGAUUUGCCAUCCAACAAUGCAGAAUUAUUGCUUUAAAUCUGAUUUAGACCUUCCCAGAAUUCUCUGGAAUAUCUUGUUCAGUAAUCUAUUGCAAAAGGCUUUAAUAUGGACUAGGUACAUUCCUUGCUCUCCAAAAGAAAUCCCUGUGAUUAGGAACUUUCCCUCUUCUGCUGUCAAUCAGUUUUCUGACGAAAAUCCAUGAUUUUCCUUCCUUUCGUGGUGCACAAUUAGGGUUCCUGCAUGGGAAAUAAAAUCAGAUAAAUGUGGUAGGAUGGACAGAAUUUAAAUGACGAAAUUAAGGGAAAGAAUCACAUAAAUCCCUUGAUUUCUGCAGAAUUCGUCCUCCUCCUUUUAUAGACAUUCACAGCUUCCUAAUCCAAGUUGGAUUAGGUUUCCUGACUUCAAAUGGUUUCCCUGUCUCAUUAGAAAAGAAAGUUUCCUAAAUAUUUUAGGAAAGUCAGAAUAGGAAAGAUUCAAAAGUAGUAAGUUUCCUAAAUCAAAAUAAGAAAGUUUCUUAAAAUGAAAUAGACAACUUUCCCUUUUCAAAACAGGAAAGUUUCCUAAAUGACUUAUCUUUUGAUUCUGCGACUUAAUGAGACUCCUUGCUGCAUCACGAAUCCUUCUUUGAUUAGGAUUUCGCUCAAUUCUUGCGGUUUAGCCUCCUUUUGUGUAAAACUGACUCUUUUGACCUACAACACAGAAACAAGCUAGAAAUGGCAUUAUUAAGGAAUUAACGAAGCUAGGAAAUAGCGUAGGAAAUACAUUAAGAAUAUAGCAUAAAAUGCGUGUAUCAAAUUCCCCCACACUUAGCUUUUGCUAGUCCCUUAGCAAAACCAAACUAGCAAACUGACUCUAAACAAAACAAAGUAAUUAAACAAGGAAAACAAGCAAAUCCGCCACAAUUUCACACAAGUGUCGGUUAUUAAAACUCUAAUGCCCUUAACUAUUGUCUCAGAUUCUCCAAUCUCAUGGUAUCCAACUUAACACUCAAUCAAGAAUGAUUCCAUGAAGUUUCAGAAGCAAAUUGCAAUUCAUAGAUCGCAUAUUUACUCGUAGGACAUGAUAGAACAAUGGUGAUAUUUAAGCUCAGCAUGUUUCAAACAAGUAUGAUUCAUUCUCACAAGGUAUGCACUCAAUCUUCACUCAGAUUUUCUCGCUAAAUCACUCAUUAUGUAUGCAAGAUAGGAUCAGAAAACUUGCAUUUAUAUGAACAAAAGCACAAUAGAUCAGAAAUAAACCUCAUGAAAGAAUAUGAUUACUCACACAAAUGAACCAUACCAUAGGCUCAACUCUUGGAACAAACUCCACAGAUCAAGUUUUACUCAUCUUUUAGAUCAAAAGGAACUUUAAAAGGUGUUAAUGGGGCUAGGCUAGGGGUAUGAAUUUAAGGAUAAGGAAUAUGCAAAAUUCCAAAGGACCUAGCAGAGCAUUAUCCAAGAUAUCAUUUGUCGCCAAAAUGAGGACCAAGAUAUCAUUUGUCCUCCAAAAACGUCACUGCACCUCCUUACACAAAAUGAACAGAACAAAGGCCAAAUAUUUCGAUUUUAGGCCUUCCAUUUACAUCAAAACUCCUAUUCCGCAAAACACAACAAUGUCCAAUAUUUCUUUUCUAUUUUUUUUUCUUUUUAUUUCUGCUGAAAUUUUAUUCUUUAAUUUCUUUUUAUUCUUCUCACGGCAAAUUCUUUCCUCUUUAUACAAUAAGGACAUUACAGAGACUCCUUCCCCCACACUUGCUCUUCAUCGUCACCUCAUGUAGUCUUCAAAUAAAAUGCUCUACUAGGCCCAAAGGACAGGGUAGAGAUAUGCUGUACUAAACUCAGGUAAAAAUUACAUAGGUGAUGAAAGAAAAGGCUUAAUGUAGGCUCAAAGGGGCUCAAACUAAUGGGUGUGCAGCGCACACAAAUAAGGACACAAGUUUAUUUGGCAAUGGUGAUCAUCCUAAAAAGUUCCAAUUAUCCUUUCUAAAAUCAGAGUGUUUUAUGAUAAAAAGUUUCGAAAGUUCACAAGAGUGAGUUCUAGUCAUCUCUAGUUCAUUAAAAGCUAUGGUGAGCAAUCAUUCAAAUCGAAAGAAUAAUGAGGUUUUUGAAAAAUUAUAGCCAAGAAAAUGAAUCAGAAUAUUUCAAUAAACACUCAGAAAGAAUAGCACAUAUAUAGGCUCUAAAGCUCACAUUUAAGGUUCAUAUGAAUCAAAACUUAUCUUAGCAUGCUCAUUUAUGUACCAGAGAUUCAAAUCAUAUCCACUACGUUUCACAUGAUUUCCAUUCAUUUCAAUUAACUUCAGAAUAUCAGUUGGAAAUCAUCUUGUGAUCUUAACCAUAAUUUCAGAGACAAUAAUCAUCAUAGACAGUUAAUGUCUCCUAAGACUCAAAAACACACAAAAUACUCAAAAAGCAAAACGAAUUUUUUUUUAAAUUUUUGACAUUUUUCAAUUUUUAUGAAUUUUCAAUAAAUGACUCAAUAAACAUGUAAAUCCUUCCCCCACACUUAAACUCUACAUUGCCCUCAAUGUAGAACAGAAUAUAGCAUGCAACAUAGAAUAAAGCAUGGAAACAGGAAUUCACAACAAAACAACCAAAACAAAAACGAAUUAACAAAAAGUAAGAGUUUAAAGUUGAGAAAGCUCCCCCCUGUAGACAUCCCAUACUCACAGCCUUCGGUUAGGAUUGAAAUUUAGGUACCUGCCUCAAGGUACAAGACCUUGACCUUCAAAUGAAAGUUCCUUGAAAUCGAUACUUCAAAGUAGAUGUAGGGUGUCCAUAGAAUGGAGAAACACUUGUGAUGUCCGUGCAAAUUUUCUGACUUGAUUUCUUGCAAAGUCAGUAGAGCUGCAUAUCAAAAACAAGAUAUUAUCCAACUUUCACAAAAUUAAACUCAGAAAAAUAAGAGUAAAAAUAACGAAGUAAAAAUAGAGAAAAAAUCAUCCAAAAAUAGUUGAAAAAAGGUGCAACAAACCACUAAUAAGUCUAUUACAAUAACCAAAAACUGAAAGUUGAAAUAAAAAUAAAAAGUCUCAAAAUUGCACAAAUGUGCAACUCGAAGUAGGGCUGCCUCCCUAGAGCGCUGCUUUUAACGUCCAUGAGCUAGACGGAUGACUCCUUUAGUCUUCAUCCGCAAAGGCUAGUUUGGUGUCGAAAUUGUUCUCCCAUCCUUGUGCGUGAAGAUACUCAUCCUCCCAUGGUGAGCCAUGUGAAGUAUAUGACCUUGGUGAGUUUCCGUGGCUUCCAUGGCUAAAGUUGGAGUCAUUGUCUUCCUCCUCUUCACUAUUUUCUUCUAGUUCUUCCUCUUCCUCACGUUCCAAUUCUUGAGCUGCUUUCUCAAAAUCAGCAUCAAUGGCUCUAUUGAAGACAAAUUCCACCUUGGGGGCCAUAGAGUGAAUCUCUUUCUCUACUUUGUUCAUCUGCUUUCCAAAUUUUGCUUGCUCCUUCUUUAGCUCUUCAAUGCUUGCUAGCAGCUUGUUCAUUUCAGAUUCCUCCUUCUUUUUGAUCAUUUGGUGGGGUGGCAUGAAAUAGAGAGAUGGUUGAGGCGGUGGUGGUGAUCUCGGAUGGUGGAGUAGAGAUGGUUGAGGGAGACUGGUUGGAUUAUAGAAGUGACGUGGCAUCUCUUCCUUUCUUGCUGGAUUCAUUUUCAUACGUGCCACAUGUUCUUUCUUCAGCCCUCCACAAGCAAACCUUUUCAGAAAACGUUCUUGGCAUUGGCUCCAUGUAACGGCGUUAUGGUCCACUCUGUAAUUAUACCAGUACUUUGCUUCUCCUCUCAAACUCCGGCUGAAAACCAAGAUUGUCAACGUUUCCAACUCAAUUGCAGGGCACACCAUGCGCUCACACAUCCUCUUCACAUGAUCUAAAUGAGCCUUGGGGUCUUGUUCUGCCCCAUAAAAAACAGGAACGACGUUGAGGAUGGUUUGUAUCAAUUGCUCCUUGUUUAAGCGAGGAAGGCACUCAAAGAUUGAUUUAGGUGCUGGUGUCGACAUUUUAUUGGUGAACAGUUGCACAUAUUCUUUCUUGCAUUCCUCCCAAGUGCUCUCAUGAUUCAGCUCCUCUUGGAACCAUCUAUAGGCCUCUCCUUUCAAACUCCUCAUGAAGGCAUUAACAGCUACUUCUUCAGCAUGGUCUGGUGCCAUAAGUUUGCUCACAUCCUCCACAUAGGUAAGGUGAUUUGCUGCAUCCGCCUUGCUUAUUCCAUCAAAAUUUGUGAAGAAUUUGAGCACCUUGUGCGAUCCACAUGAUGUUUGAAAGAGUUGAUGAUGUCCUUGAUAUAAAUUUGGUUUGAGGCCGACAUUUGUUCAUUCAAAGAAUUGUUAGUAAUAAAACAUACAAUUUACAGAAAUUAAAAGUAAAUUAAGACAAGUUAAACAACAACUGAGUUUCCAUAAACACAUAAGACACUACACGUCUGCAUUAUCCUAUGCUUAAGUUUAUUUCAACUCUACACUUAGGUACGGGAACAGAGGACAAUGGUGUGCAAUGGGGCUGAAACAGCUACCCAAUCCAUAGUCAUGUUUGAUCCAAUAUACCUUAGUGCAACUUACACAGUUUAAACAACAACAAUACAACACUAAAGAUUCUAAAUUUUAUUCACCCUUCAAAUACAUAUCUUAAGUUGUAAACUGUAUUCGUGGGGACAUAGGCAUUAACAUCUAAACAUAAGCAAUUCCGUGGUUUCAGAAGGCUUGAAUGGCAUGGCCGAAGUGAAACGGGCUGGUAGGGUUUCGUUUUUAGUGGGCUACGGAGGUCGAAACCCCUGUCGUGCUUACACACAGUCUAUAGCCCUUUGAAACCCAAUUUUGGUCCCAGUCGCUUACUCGGCCUAGGCACCACUCAAAAUGCCCCUUACUCAGCUAGGAAGUACUUGUAUUUUCGAUGAUCCAACAAGAGCACAAUAUUGCCCGCCCUCAACCUCGAGAGACCUUAAAAAAGGAACUCACGAAGGGUUAAGGCCCAAAUCUGCUUUGCGGUCUCUUUUAACUGGACAGUUUACCAAAUGAGAUAUAAACCUGAAAAGAAAAUAAAACAAUCAGUAACACAAUUGACUAAGUGAACUAAAUAAUUAAACUAAACGAAAACUGUAGGAGACUUUUAAAGUCCCCGGCAACGGCACCAAAAUUGAAGCGUCAUUAAAAAAAUUGCUACCUUGCUCCAUUUUAUAUUGUCUUGGCCGAACCCUAGCUGCCCUCCUAGCCCCUUGAUUGAUUUGCCAUCCAACAAUGCAGAAUUAUUGCUUUAAAUCUGAUUUAGACCUUCCCAGAAUUCUCUGGAAUAUCUUGUGCAGUAAUAUAGCAUAAGGCUUUAAUAUGGACUAGGUACAUUCCUUGCUCUCCAAAAGAAAUCCCUGUGAUUAGGAACUUUCCCUCUUCUGCUGUCAAUCAGUUUUCUGACGAAAAUCCAUGAUUUUCCUUCCUUUCGUGGUGCAAAAUUAGGGUUCUUGCAUGGGAAAUAAAAUCAGAUAAAUGUGGUAGGAUGGACAGAAUUUCAAUGACGAAAUUAAAGGAAAGUAUCACAUAAAUCCCUUGAUUUCUGCAGAAUUCGUCCUCCUCCUUUUAU
rnacentral:lncRNA from 1 species